rnacentral:tRNA from 1 species
UUUUGGUUAGCUUAAUUGGUAGAGCACUCCACUCGAAAUGGAGAGUCCCCUGUUUCGAUACCAGGACCAGGGG